rnacentral:sRNA from 1 species
UAAAGUAAUAUUUCCUUGUUUGAAGAUACAAAGUCAAAGACUCAUACGGACUUCGGCUACACCAUCAAAACUUUGUGAGGCAAUAAGAAGCUUCGUUAGUUUUUUGGAGUCAAAUAUGACUAGAUGUUAUGUGUUUGAUUAAGUAUAAGAACUAGAACCACAACUGAUUCCCAAAAGCUAAAGUUGUGUUUCCCUUCUAGAAGAUACAAAGCUAAAGACUCAUACGGACUUCGGCUACACCAUGAAAAUUUUGAG